UCUACGGGUGGCAGCAGUGGGGAAUAUUGGGCAAUGGGCGCAAGCCUGACCCAGCAACGCCGCGUGAAGGAAGAAGGCUUUAGGGUUGUAAACUUCUUUUCACAGGGACGAAGCAAGAGACGGUACCUGAGGAAUAAGCCACGGCUAACUACGUGCCAGCAGCAGCGGUAAUACGUAGGUGGCAAGCGUUAUCCGGAUUUACUGGGUGUAAGGGGCGUGUAGGCGGGACUGCAAGUCAGAGGUGAAAACUACGGGCUCAACCUUUGGCCUGCAUUUGAAACUGUAGUUCUUGAGUACUGGUGAGGCAGACGGAAUUCCUAGUGUAGCGGUGAAAUGCGUAGAUAUUAGGAGGAACCCCAGUGGCGAAGGCGGUUUGCUGGACAGCAACUGACGCUGAGGCGCGAAAGCGUGGGGAGCAAACAGGAUUAGAUACCCUGGUAGUC
rnacentral:rRNA from 1 species